rnacentral:tRNA from 1 species
GCCUCUGUGGUGUAACGGUAGCAUACGGGACUGUGGAUCCCUUGACCUGGGUUCGACUCCCAGCAGAGGCCCCA